rnacentral:lncRNA from 1 species
GAUGGGCUGUAACUUGGAGAUGUAGGUGAGUAACCAGGAGAUGUGGGACUAUAACUUGGAGAAGUUGGACUGUACGCAGGAGAUGUGGGAGCAUAGGAAGGUGAAGUAGGACUGUAUGCUGGAGAUGUCGGGCUAUAGCUAGGAGAGGUUGGGCUGUAACUUGGUGACGUCGGACUGUAACUUGGUGAUGUCGGACUGUAACUUGGUGAUGUCGGACUGUAACUUGGUGAGGUUGGGCUGUAGCUAGGCGAGGUGGGGGCAUAACUUGGAGAAGUUGGAGAAUAAGAUGGUGAUGUUGGGCUAUAUCCAGGAGAAGUAGGGCUGUAAGAAGGUGAUGUGGGACUGUAACCAGGAGAGGUAGGACUAUAACCUGGGGAAGUAGGACUGUAACCAGGUGAUGUAGGACUAUACCCAGGUGAUGUGGGGCUGUAACCUGGUGACAAGGGACUGUAUCCAGGAGAGGAAGGGCUGUAUCCUGGAGAUGACGGGGAGAAGGGCAUGUUCCCGACGUACGGCGAAAACUGCGCAUCUGAUAGUGGAGAAGCACGCAGACUUGGACUAAGCAGAUAACUGGGUGACAUCAUGCCAUCAUUGUGUGGCGUUCCGAUCAUA